GCCGUCGUGUGGCACACUUUCCAUUGUUUUCAAAUUUUUGACGUCCACAUCGGCCAAUGUCAAAAUGCUGAUUCCUGAUCAUUUACAAAUAUAAUAAUGAAAAUUAAAUUGGUUAGUUAUAUAUAUUAUUGCCAAGUUUUCAUUAAUAUAUAUAGAUAUAGAUUUUAAAAUUUUAAUUUUUCAUGUCAAUAUUAAUUAAAGAAUGAUAUAUACCUUGUCUAGCUUUAAGGUUGGCUUGUUGAUCGGCAGGCAAAACAUUCCAUUUUUCUUGCCACUCACAAACCAACGCCGGUCCAGUGGCCUCAGUCAAUCCAUAAGCAUGUGUUAUAUGAAAACCAAGAGCCUCCAUCUUUUCCAGCAACGGCGC
rnacentral:lncRNA from 1 species